rnacentral:rRNA from 1 species
UACGUAGGUGGCAAGCGAUACUCGGAAUCACUAGGCGUAAAGCGCAGGUAGGAGGUUUGGUAAGUCUAUUGUGAAAGCUCCCGGCUUAACUGGGAGAGGUCAAUGGAAACUACUAGGCUAGAGUGCGGUAGAGGUAGCUGGAAUUCCCGGUGUAGCGGUGAAAUGCGUAGAUAUCGUGAGGAACACCAGAGGCGAAGGCGGCUACCUGGACAAUUGCUGACGCUCAGGCACGAAAGCGUGGGGAGCAAAAGGG